UACGAAGGGGGCUAGCGUUGCUCGGAAUUACUGGGCGUAAAGCGCACGUAUGCGGAUUGUUAAGUCGGGGGUGAAAUCCUGGAGCUCAACUCCAGAACUGCCUUCGAUACUGGCGAUCUCGAGUUCGGGAGAGGUGAGUGGAACUGCGAGUGUAGAGGUGAAAUUCGUAGAUAUUCGCAAGAACACCAGUGGCGAAGGCGGCUCACUGGCCCGAUACUGACGCUGAGGCACGAAGGCCAGGGGAGCAAACGGG
rnacentral:rRNA from 1 species